UACGUAGGGGCCUAGCGUUGUCCGGAAUUAUUGGGCGUAAAGAGCUCGUAGGCGGUUCGGCAAGUCGGAUGUGAAAUCUCCACGCUUAACGUGGAGGGGCCAUUCGAAACUGCUGUGACUCGAGUCCGGUAGGGGAGUGUGGAAUCCCGGUGUAGCGGUGAAAUGCGCAGAUAUCGGGAGGAACACCAGUAGCGAAGGCGGCAUUCUGGGCCGGUACGUGACGCUGAGGAGCG
rnacentral:rRNA from 1 species